GAGAGCCGGAUGCGGGGACAACUUGCCUGUCCGGUUCGGGAAGAGGCUGACGGAAAAGGACUCCAGCCAGGAGCACCUCGCCGGCGGCCCACUUCAC
rnacentral:ncRNA from 1 species